rnacentral:rRNA from 1 species
UACGUAGGGGGCGAGCGUUAUCCGGAUUUACUGGGCGUAAAGCGCGUUAAGGCGGCCGGCUAAGUUGGUGGUGAAAUUCCAGGGCUCAACCCUGGAACUGCCUCCAAUACUGGUCGGCUCGAGUGCGAGAGAGGAAGGUGGAAUUCCCGGUGUAGUAGUGAAAUGCGUAGAGAUGUGGAGGAACUCCGAUGGCGAAGGCAGCCCCCUGGGUCAAGAUUGACGCUCAUGCACGAAAGCGUGGGGAGCAAACAGG